rnacentral:rRNA from 1 species
CAGCCGCCGCGGUAAUACCGAGGGUGCGAGCGUUAAUCGGAUUUACUGGGCGUAAAGCGUGCGUAGGCGGCUUCUUAAGUCGGAUGUGAAAUCCCUGAGCUUAACUUAGGAAUUGCAUUCGAUACUGGGAAGCUAGAGUAUGGGAGAGGAUGGUAGAAUUCCAGGUGUAGCGGUGAAAUGCGUAGAGAUCUGGAGGAAUACCGAUGUCGAAGGCAGCCAUCUGGCCUAAUACUGACGCUGAGGUACGAAAGCAUGGGGAGCAAACAGGAUUAGAUACCCGCGUAGUCCCUGUCUCUUAUAC